CCCUCCCUCACCUGGUCAACAUGUGUUUCCGGUUUAGACCUCUGUUGCUGUGCAGCGCCAGUAGCACACUCAGGUGUGCACGUUGAUCGCUCCUUCUUCUGGUGGCCUGUGUAAAUUGCCUGAUCCUCCUCCCAGCCAGAGGCACUACACAUAGAGCUUGUGACGCUGCUGUUUGUCCUUGGCCGGCUGUUUGCCUGUUGCCCUGUGGUUCCUGGUUGAUGUCAGCUGUUAUUUUGGUUGUCCGUCGGCAGUCCAUUUGUCGCUCUGGUUGCUGGCUCUCUGCCAGCCGUCGUGGUCAGCGUGAACCUGAC